UACGUAGGGGGCUAGCGUUGUCCGGAAUCAUUGGGCGUAAAGCGCGCGUAGGCGGCCCGGUAAGUCCGUUGUGAAAGUCAAAGGCUCAACCUUUGAACGCCGAUGGAUACUGCCGGGCUAGAGUCCGGAAGAGGCGAGUGGAAUUCCUGGUGUAGCGGUGAAAUGCGCAGAUAUCAGGAGGAACACCAAUUGCGAAGGCAGCUCGCUGGGACGUUACUGACGCUGAGACGCGAAAGCGUGGGGAGCAAACAGG
rnacentral:rRNA from 1 species